GAAAACAGGACAUCACAACGAUAACUGAACCCCAUGUUUACCGCAGCAUUAUUUACAAUAGCUAAGAUACGGCAACAACCGAAGUGUCCACGGAUGGAUCCACGGAUAAAAAAGAUGUAUAUAAUGGAAUCUUUUUUGGCGACGAGAAAGAGGGAAACCUUGCCAUUGUGUGACAUCGUGGAUGGACAUUGACGACAUUGUUCUCAGGGAGGUAAGUCCCAGACAGAGGAAGGCAGACACUGUAAGGGCUCGCCUAUUUGUGGAAUCCAAAAACGCUCAACUUGUAGAAACAGAGUAGAAUGGUCGUCACCAGGGCCUGGGGGGCAGGGAGGUUGGAAAGAAUGUUGGUCAAAAGACACACACUUGCAUUUAGAUGAUGGGUUAAGUUCUGAGGACCUGAUGCAUAGCCUGGUGACUGCAGUUAAAACUGCUCACAUACUUAAAAGAUGUUAAGACAGUCGAUCUUAAAUGUUCCCACCACAAAAAAGAAAUGAUAAUUCUGUGACGUGACAAAGAUGUUAAUAGACACUAUAGAGGGGAUCAUAUUGCAACGGGUAAGUGUAUCACAUCAACAUGUACACCUUAAAUUUCCACAACAUUGUACGUCAAGUACAUCUCAAUUUUUUCGAAUGAUCACAGUGUCGAAAAAGACUUGAAAAUGACGUAGGAGUUGUUUUGCUCAGAGACCUAGGGAGUGUCCACACACCCUUGAAAAUGCACCUGAGACUUUAGGGGCCGUGAGAAUCCCGAGGUCUAUCCGUGGAGACCUCCGGGGAUCUCUGGACCCCAGUUUCCUGAUCUGAAAUUUGUAGCGAUGAAAAUAUAUCCAAGAUACUUUGUUACGUGAAAAUAAAAUACGCGGCAGACAGUAUGUAGAGCUCAAAACCCAUUUUUCCUUUCACUGAUGUGUACCUAACAUUAUCUGCAUUAUCUGAGAGGCGUGAGUUUGAGGGUUUCUUUUACCUUGCAUUUCAGACACUUCUGAACUCUUCGAGGUAUUUGAAAAAGCACAUGUAUUACUUUUGUCAUCAUAGUUUCCAAACAAAUUUCUAAAAAAGGAAUGAUAAUAAAUACAUUUCCGACAAACCAAGGGUCUGACCCUGUCUCGCAUCUCCGGGGGCAGAGGGCAGCCCGACCACCUACCGGACGCCCGUCCAUGGUGAUUCCCCAUCUCUGUCCGCUCGCGGCUCUUGGCCGGCUCUGUCAUGGCUACUCUUUCGCCAACUGCCUCAAGGGCUGACGCGGCCAAGGGCAUUUGAAUGUCAGGUGCGUCCCCGCUUUACUGAGCUGGAUGCCGCCGGCACACACGCAGUCCCGUCCUGACACCAGAAGGCUGAAUUUCUCAGCAACAAAAGCCCCAGCCUGGUCUUGAAGACUUAUUUACUCAUUCAUUAUUUUUUAAUUCAGACAUUCAUUCAGCAAAUAUUUUUAGAGCACCUCAUGUGUAGGGGUUCUGUAGGAACAGAGAAAUUCGCCAUAAAAAUUAAAUAGGAAAAUGCAUCCGGCUGGAAAUUAAGACAGCGUGUUCCCAACCGCUAACAGCCGCUCAGCUAAGAAUUAGCACAUGACAAAGGGUGUCUCUCGCUAGACGUAAAAGAAAUAAAUGCCCCUUAAAAUAACAAUGAAUGGACAUCUUCACUUGUCAGUGAUUAAAAUAAAAUGAUAAAACUCAUUGCUGCGGAAGAGAUGGUAAUCGAGGUCAUUGCUAGCCACCGUGGGAGACCAAGCAUCAACACGGGUGUGGCAUUUAGUGACAUGUGUAGCGACAUAUUGAUUUGUGUUUUUGCUGCUGAGUUUUUCCUUUCUCUUUCAAAGAAAAUAGUCAGGCUGUAUUGGUGAUCCAUGGCUGCAUAACGAACAUCACCAACUUAGUAGCAGAAGACAACACCCAUUUAAUAGUUCAAGGCUCUACAGGUCAGGAGCUCAGGAGGGGCUCAGCUGGGUUCUCUGCCCAGGGUCUUAUCAGAUGGGAAGUGGGGGUGGCUGCCAGUGCGUGUUCCCUUCUGGUGGCUCUGGGGGCAAGCCCAUUUGCAAGCUGAUUCGGGUCAGGGACAAAACUCAAUUCCUUGGGGUUGUAGGACUGAAGUCAUCAGCCAGCGACCAUUCUUGGCUCCUAGAGGCUGCCUGCAACCCUUGUCAUGUGCUCUCCCUCAUCUCCAAAGCCAGCCUCUGUUCCCCUCACAUCACAUCCCUCUUGUGCUCUUUCUAGAUACAUCCUAAUCUCCUGGAAGGACUCAUCUGAUCGGGUCAGGCCCAGUUGUUGAAAAAACAUAAAAUAAUAGCGAGCAAAUGAAAUGACAAAUAGGACAAAAGACUGAAUUUUGGAAUGAUAUUUGCACCGUACUCUUUGGCAGAAGAUAACUGAUAGACCGACCUGCCUAGAAGUGAGACGAAGGUAGCCUGGUCAAACUCUGGUCCUAAACACAAAACCAAGAUGGCACAGAAGAAUCGUUCGUAACGUGUGGAACGGUGGUUGCUUCUCUAUCCCUCGGCCUGUCUCUCGAAAGUUAAUCUCAUUUGUGUCUGUCAGUUUUUCCCCACAUGCAAAC
rnacentral:lncRNA from 1 species